rnacentral:rRNA from 1 species
CCUACGGGUGGCAGCAGUGAGGAAUAUUGGUCAAUGGACGCAAGUCUGAACCAGCCAUGCCGCGUGCAGGAAGACGGCUCUAUGAGUUGUAAACUGCUUUUGUACGAGGGCAAACGCAGAUACGUGUAUCUGUCUGAAAGUAUCGUACGAAUAAGGAUCGGCUAACUCCGUGCCAGCAGCCGCGGUAAUACGGAGGAUUCAAGCGUUAUCCGGAUUUAUUGGGUUUAAAGGGUGCGUAGGCGGUCGGAUAAGUUAGAGGUGAAAUCCCGAGGCUCAACUUCGGAAUUGCCUCUGAUACUGUUCGGCUAGAGAGUAGUUGCGGUAGGCGGAAUGUAUGGUGUAGCGGUGAAAUGCUUAGAGAUCGUACAGAACACCGAUUGCGAAGGCAGCUUACCAAGCUACUUCUGACGUUGAGGCACGAAAGCGUGGGGAGCGAACAGGAUUAGAUACCCUUGUAGUC